AGCUAAAAGGUUCACAGCCUCCA
rnacentral:siRNA from 1 species